rnacentral:rRNA from 1 species
GACGAACGCUGGCGGCGUGCUUAACACAUGCAAGUCGAACGGACAGGCCCUGCUCUUGUGGGGUGCUCGAGUGGCGAACGGGUGAGUAACACGUGAGUAAACUGCCCUUGACUUUGGGAUAACUUCAGGAAACUGGGGCUAAUACCGGAUAGAAGCUCCUGCUGCAUGGUGUUCGUUGGAAAGUUUCGGCGGUUUGGGAUGGACUCGCUGCUUAUCAGCUUGUUGGUGAGGUAGUGGCUUACCAGGCCUUUGACGGAUAGCCGGCCUGAGAGCGUGACCGGGCACAUGGGGACUGAGAUAGGCAGCAGACGCGAACGGGAGGCAGUAGUGGGGAAUAUGGCACAAUGGGCGGACGCCUGAUGCGGCAACGUCCGGUGCGGGAUGAUGGCUUAUGGGGUGUAAACCGCUGUGGCCGGUGACGUAGCGAGAGUGACGGUAAUGGGUAAAGAAGCACCGGCUAACUACGUG